AACGAACGCUGGCGGCAGGCCUAACACAUGCAAGUCGAGCGAGGACUUCGGUCCUAGCGGCGGACGGGUGAGUAACGCGUGGGAACGUGCCCCUUGGUACGGAAUAGCCCCGGGAAACUGGGAGUAAUACCGUAUGAGCUCUACGGAGGAAAGAUUUAUCGCCAAGGGAUCGGCCCGCGUUGGAUUAGGUAGUUGGUGGGGUAAUGGCCUACCAAGCCGACGAUCCAUAGCUGGUUUGAGAGGAUGAUCAGCCACACUGGGACUGAGACACGGCCCAGACUCCUACGGGAGGCAGCAGUGGGGAAUCUUAGACAAUGGGCGCAAGCCUGAUCUAGCCGUGCCGCGUGAGCGAUGAAGGCCUUAGGGUUGUAAAGCUCUUUCAGCUGGGAAGAUAAUGACUGUACCAGCAGAAGAAGCCCCGGCUAACUCCGUGCCAGCCGCCGCGGUAA
rnacentral:rRNA from 1 species